rnacentral:lncRNA from 1 species
CGCCAUUCGACCUUCCACACGCCUCCGGCCUUUAAAACCUGAAAAUGUUUAAUAUGGGGUGAGCAUACAGGGUACACUCAGUGUGGGAACAUGCAAUCAUUGUCCACGUUAAUAAAAUGAGAAUCACAUAUGAUCAAUACAUUCGUAACUGAAAGUCGCACGGUGGCAUACCAAGGACCUUUCCGUCCUGGACCGAUUGAGCCGGCCCCUGGCGACUGGUUGCAACCAUAACUUUAACAUGAAAUCGCAUUGUGGCAUACCAAGGACUUUAAUGUCCUGGACCCAUUGAGCGGGCCCCUAGCGAUAUAAUUUAAUGCAACUCACAUAUGGUAAACACAUAAUAUUAAAAUGGACAAAGAUUAACCACAGCAUGUACUGAAAUAAAUCCCACACCUGUAUUUGAACUUCAACUUGAACUUCAACUUGUAUGCUAACUUGAGUAAAUCAAAUAAAAGUAACGUCCUAGUCGCGCCGCACCUAGUCAGAUAAAUUCAAAUAAUAAAAUAUAAGGGCCUAAUUGAACUUUAAAAUAAUAAUAAUAGUAGUUUAAAUCUUAAGAAUUUAUUAUCAUAAAAUCAUUUGGAAAAUAGUUAGUCUAAUGAAUCAAAUAAUAAAAUGCAUGCUUCUUUAAAAUUGAGUUGGGAUUUAAUAAAAAUAAUCAGGUCCAACUUAAUAAUGCAAUUUAAAAUAUGAAGGCCAGUCCAUUUAAAAUAAGAGCCCAACCAUUAAAUUAAAACCAACCCUAGGGCCCAACCCCAAACUUCCAACUCUUGCCCUAACUUAAAUCCUACAACUUCAACACACACUCCACACUCACGCAGCUCACGCCCCCUCCUCACUCCCUCUCUCUCCCUCUCGGCCUCCUGCCUGCCGCCGCCACCGGACGGCCGCGCCGUCGUCGGAGGCCGGCGGCUCUGCCUCCCCUUCUUACUAUCUCCCUCUCACCCCUCACUCUCCCUCUCUUCAUCGCCUCUCUCCAGCGACCUCACCACCGUGUCUACACCUCCCUCCCUCUCUCCUUCGGCCGGCAACAGCGGCCGCCAUCGUCGUUCCCACGUCGACAGCAGCGCCGCCUAGCCACGGCCUCCCUUCUCUCUCCUGGCCAACAGCAGCACUACCAUCGCCGCCCCCGCGUCGACAGCGGCGCUGCCCAGGCGCCUUCUCCGUCUGUUCGACCAGACCAGCAUAGCAGCGGCCAAGACCACCGCACCGCUGCCCCUUCUCUUCCUCCGUCGGCCGCCGUGGCGCGUAGCGUCGGCGGCUCCGUUCUGCAGCCAUCCCCCCUCUUCCCUUCUCUUGUCUAAACUCUUAAACCACCAUUUCUCUUUUCUNUCAAUCACUUCUAUUUCUAUUUCCUUUUUCCAUGUAAUUAGUAAUAUCUAUAGAAUUACAGAAAAUAGAUGUAUGCAUGUUUGAAUUUAUCAAAACAAGAAUUUUGUGGGAGUUUGGUUGUUUUCUGUAAAUUGAAAGAAAGCAGAGAUCUUUGCAUAUGAAAAUAAAACAUAUAACUAUACAGGUUUAUGAGGAUUACCGAUGGAGAUUCGGCAGUGGGAAGAAACAGGAUGAAAUAAGAUAUAGAUAGGUGAAUGUGAAUCUGAUAUAUAUGUAUGGCGGUGAGGAAUGGGGAUAAGAGAGGAGUAUGGCGGUUGGGGUUGGAUAUUUGGAAUUUUCGCAGAUUUUCAAUUU